rnacentral:rRNA from 1 species
GGGAUAAGCGGAAGAAAUUCCGUCUAAUACCGCGUAAUAACUCCGAGGGGCAUCUCUUGGGGUUUAAAGGGUAACACCGGCUACGGAUGGCCAUGCGGCGCAUUAGCUAGUUGGCGGGGUAACGGCCCACCAAGGCGACGAUGCGUAGGGGUUCUGAGAGGAAGGUCCCCCACACUGGUACUGAGACACGGACCAGACUCCUACGGGAGGCAGCAGUGAGGAAUAUUGGUCAAUGGGCGCGAGCCUGAACCAGCCAAGUCGCGUGAGGGAAGACGGUCCUAUGGAUUGUAAACCUCUUUUGUCGGGGAGCAAAAGACGCCACGCGUGGCGUUCCGAGAGUACCCGAAGAAAAAGCAUCGGCUAACUCCGUGCCAGCAGCCGCGGUAAUACGGAGGAUGCGAGCGUUAUCCGGAUUUAUUGGGUUUAAAGGGUGCGCAGGCGGAAGAUCAAGUCAGCGGUAAAAUUGGGAGGCUCAACCUCUUCGAGCCGUUGAAACUGGUUUUCUUGAGUGAGCGAGAAGUAUGCGGAAUGCGUGGUGUAGCGGUGAAAUGCAUAGAUAUCACGCAGAACUCCGAUUGCGAAGGCAGCAUACCGGCGCUCAACUGACGCUCAUGCACGAAAGUGUGGGUAUCGAACAGGAUUAGAUACCCUGGUAGUCCACACAGUAAACGAUGAAUAAUAAUUGUUCGGG